UGGCUCAGGACGAACGCUGGCGGCGUGCCUAAUACAUGCAAGUCGAGCGAAUCGAUGGGAGCUUGCUCCCUGAGAUUAGCGGCGGACGGGUGAGUAACACGUGGGCAACCUGCCUAUAAGACUGGGAUAACUUCGGGAAACCGGAGCUAAUACCGGAUACGUUCUUUUCUCGCAUGAGAGAAGAUGGAAAGACGGUUUACGCUGUCACUUAUAGAUGGGCCCGCGGCGCAUUAGCUAGUUGGUGAGGUAAUGGCUCACCAAGGCGACGAUGCGUAGCCGACCUGAGAGGGUGAUCGGCCACACUGGGACUGAGACACGGCCCAGACUCCUACGGGAGGCAGCAGUAGGGAAUCUUCCGCAAUGGACGAAAGUCUGACGGAGCAACGCCGCGUGAACGAAGAAGGCCUUCGGGUCGUAAAGUUCUGUUGUUAGGGAAGAACAAGUACCAGAGUAACUGCUGGUACCUGACGGUACCUAACC
rnacentral:rRNA from 2 species